rnacentral:rRNA from 1 species
AUUGAACGCUGGCGGCAUGCUUUACACGUGCAAGUCGAACGGUAACAGGCCUUCGGGUGCUGACGAGUGGCGAACGGGUGAGUAAUGCAUCGGAACGUACCCAGAGGUGGGGGAUAACGCAGCGAAAGCUGUGCUAAUACCGCAUGUGAUCUGAGGAUGAAAGCGGGGGACCGAGCAGCAAUGUUUGGCCUCGCGCCUUUGGAGCGGCCGAUGUCGGAUUAGCUAGUUGGUGGGGUAAAGGCCUACCAAGGCGACGAUCCGUAGCUGGUCUGAGAGGACGACCAGCCACACUGGGACUGAGACACGGCCCAGACUCCUACGGGAGGCAGCAGUGGGGAAUUUUGGACAAUGGGCGCAAGCCUGAUCCAGCAAUGCCGCGUGCGGGAAGAAGGCCUUCGGGUUGUAAACAGCUUUUGGCAGGAACGAAACGGUGUCCGCUAAUACCGGGCGCUAAUGACGGUACCUGCAGAAUAAGCACCGGCUAACUACGUG